AAAUGUGUUUAAUUUGUUCUGAGUGUAGUUGUACCUGAACAUGUUCUUAAUUUUUUUUUUUAAUUCUCAGUAGAUAUGCCUGUGUUAUUAUACAAAAUCAGAACAUUGGAGCUGACUUCCCUUGGAGACAUUUCUCAUUAGUGAUAGAAUAUGAUUAUUCUGAAAACUCUUGCUGGAAAAGACUGUGUGAAAAUCUAAAUAUUACUUACAUGACUUUUAAAACCAUCCUCCCUGAAGCAGUGCAAAUGGGUAAGUGCUUUCCAGACCUGUAGUAAACAAUUGGACUGACAUACAAGAGGAAAGUAUUUUCUAUUCUCUGAAAUGCUACAUUUGUGUGUGUGUGGAUGAGAAUGGGUCAUAAAUUAUGCAGGAUAAAACUAGGCAAAUAUUGCUGAUUAUCUAUACUGAAAGAUUGGAAGAUGUUUUUCUUAGGUUAUGAUCUUAGUUUUGGCCCGGAUGUGGUAGUAAGUGUUGGUGAUCCCUUAUAAAACACUUGUGCCAAGUUUACAGGUUGCUGACAGUUCAUAAAAACUGUAUCUACCCUUCCUCACACUGACGGAAUGUUCCUGUGAAUCUAAAAGAAUAAAGCUAAAUUUGAAAGCAAUUCAGAAGAGUUUAAUUUUGGGGAAAAAUAGUAUAUAAUGGAAGCAUUGUGAGGGGGAUGAAUAAAAGCUGCAUAUUUUGAAUAUAUAUCAAUUUAAAUACUGAAAUACAUCUUUAACUUUUUGCUCACUAAACUAUUAUGUAUGCAAAAUGUUUCAGGGAAUCACUGUGGUUCAUUUCUUCUGGAGGUACAGAUUCCUUAUGUGUUUUUCACCACUGAAGGUCUUCUUAAUAUGCCAGAUUUUCUUCAGCUUUUGGAAUCUCAAAUAUGGAUGAAUUAAGUAAUGAGAAAUCCUGCGACAAUGUAAUAUUGAAGCUGACAGCAUUAUCGCUCCAAUAUACGUGCUGUUGGGUUGUUUUCUGUUCCAGAGAAAGACUGAGUUUGGAGUAAGUAAAUAAAUUCUUUUGCUGUCUUGGUAUUUUUAAACA
rnacentral:lncRNA from 1 species